rnacentral:sRNA from 1 species
AAUAUUAUUAAUAUGUUGUUUUAAUAGGGGUUAAAACUUCAGUCUUUUAACAAUUGUCUCAUGGAUUCGUGGUAUAGCGUUACUUAAUAAUAAUUAUAAACUGUGAAAUAUAAAUAUUUUAUAAAAAUAAAAUUUGCAAGUUUAAAUAUAUAUUACUUUUAGAAAAUAAAUCGUCCUGCGGUAUAUCGCGGGUUAAAAUCUAGUUAGUUUUAUGUUUUAUUACUAGAUGAUGAUGACAAAAAGAAAAUGUGAAAAAGGCACAAGAAGUGCAUCAAAUGAAGUGCAUGGGUUGGGAACAUGAACAUGUAAAUUU